rnacentral:rRNA from 1 species
CCGACGGUGGAGUAACACGUAUCCAGCCUGCCGUCUACUCUUGGACAGCCUUCUGAAAGGAAGAUUAAUACAAGAUGGCAUCAUGAGUCCGCAUGUUCACAUGAUUAAAGGUAUUCCGGUAGACGAUGGGGAUGCGUUCCAUUAGAUAGUAGGCGGGGUAACGGCCCACCUAGUCUUCGAUGGAUAGGGGUUCUGAGAGGAAGGUCCCCCACAUUGGAACUGAGACACGGUCCAA